CCUUCUGUGUUCUGUGUGCACCCGGGUGCUGUUUGAUUUCGGGUAGACAGGAUCCCAGUCAAGAAAUUGCAUUUGUUUGGCAGGUGCGAGGGGGAUGAAAGCGAGCAUUUGAUUGGAUGACCGUGUAACCCCUGACCCAACAGGAUGUUUUGUUAGACCGUGGGGGUUGUGUUUGUCGUGUCACUUCAAGGGGACAAUUGUCCAUAAUACGCGAACGACAGUUUAAGAUUUGUUUGCACACAACAUUUAAAUAAGGUGUUUCACAUAGGUGUCAAGUCUCAAGGGUCGGCUGAGAAAGCCCACGUGACAACUAUUUUCAUAACGUCCACGGUUCCUAAAAAAUCCAUUGAGUGAUUGAUAACAACGAUCAACCAGUCAACUUAUUAUCAGUUAACCCUUUGAACAAAGAGCCAACAUAGAGACAUUUUUCAGCAUGGCUUGUAGAGGCUGGUUGUUGGUAGUGGGAAUUAGUUGUUUGAUCCUUGCUGCCAAGGGGAGUAGUACUUCAGAUGUGUUCACGCCAACGUCAAUGUCAACGCCAACGCCAACGUCAAUGUCAACGCCAACGCCAACAUCAACAUCAACAACAACAUCACCAUCACCAUCACCAUCACCAUCACCAUCACCAACA